UACGGAGGGUGCGAGCGUUGUUCGGAAUCACUGGGCGUAAAGGGCGUGUAGGCGGUCCGCUAAGUCUGAUGUGAAAAGCCCGGGGCUCACCCCCCGGAAGUGCAUUGGAAACUGGCGAACUCGAGUCCCGGAGAGGAGAGUGGAAUUCCUGGUGUAGCGGUGAAAUGCGUAGAUAUCAGGAGGAACACCGGUGGCGAAGGCGGCUCUCUGGACGGUGACUGACGCUGAGACGCGAAAGCGUGGGGAGCAAACAGG
rnacentral:rRNA from 1 species